CUUCCACUUCUGCAGGUCUCAGCAUCCCCGGGAACAACUGCAUCGGGGCGGGAAGCCCUCUCCUCAGGGUCCUGGCCCUCUACCUCCAGGCCCU
rfam:Choloepus hoffmanni cont1.612416, whole genome shotgun sequence.